UACAGAGGGUGCAAGCGUUAAUCGGAAUUACUGGGCGUAAAGCGCGCGUAGGUGGUUUGUUAAGUUGAAUGUGAAAUCCCCGGGCUCAACCUGGGAACUGCAUGCAAAACUGGCAAGCUAGAGUAUGGUAGAGGGUGGUGGAAUUUCCUGUGUAGCGGUGAAAUGCGUAGAUAUAGGAAGGAACACCAACGGCGAAAGCACUCUGCUGGGCCGACACUGACACUGAGAGACGAAAGCUAGGGGAGCAAAUGGG
rnacentral:rRNA from 1 species